UUGCUGCGGUGUCAUGUAGAUAUGAAGUGAUUAGAUGUCAUUUUUUUUUUGUUUCAAAUGCCCUUCUACCACUCCUGUGGGUAUUGUAUUUUAAAGACUCAUAAUGUGUAAAUAUGUUAAGAUGUUCUUUUUGUAUAACCCAUGUUUCCCCCAGGCUCAUUUUGUGUGGUAAUUAGACUUGGAUGGGUUUUUAUAAAAAUGAUGGUAAAAUUAUUGUUUCCAGGCUCCACCACUAAGACUACAGUAAGUACAUAAAAAAAUGCAUAAUUUGAUUCACAUUACUCUCUUUAUGAAAUGAACACUGAAUGUUUCAUUAUGAAUCAGUUUUUUAUUAUGUGUCUCCUAAUCUUGGCAGACAUGCGAGUUGAACCCUUCCAACACCAAAGCAACUGGCCAUGUCUUCCUCUCUACCUCGGCUCAUCUACAACACGGCAUUGUCUCCACUGUGGCUCCCCUUCAGAAUGGGGAAAGUUUUUUAGACAGAAGAUGAAUGGAAGGGGAAGAGUUCAGCAAAAUCUACUUUAGCUUAAAUCCUAUUCAUCUGCUGGGCACAAGGCAGGGUUGGACAGCAGCUCCUCUAGCAGCUCCACCAUAGCAGCGAAUACAGGCCCUGCCUCCACCUGCUGUUCAGCUCUCGCUCUGUGCAGUCACAGAUCAGCAGCCGCUGUGGUCUCUGUGUUGAACUCCAAAGGCCUGCCAACACUGACCCGCUUCCACAGAGGUGGUCAGAGGGCUCGCUGCAACCGCUCUGACUCCGGCGCUAACUGCCUAUAGCUCGACAGCACCUCGACACCCUGUCUUCCAGGCUAUUCAGUUACGUUGGUGUAGUCACUAGUAGUGUUAUUAUGGUCUUUACUGAGAGGGAAGUGCCACAGUGUGAGGAGAAAUCAAAGACGCCUGGUGCAGUCAGUGUCAGAGAACAGCGCAAACUGACAGUUUAGCUAUUUCACUGCGAUUCGGAAGCUGCUGUGUUGUUUAUCUGCUAAUUAAACUGCUCCACUCUCUAAAGACAGUAAUAAAGAGCUGAAGCAUAAACAGAAGAUGUCAGCUUAUUACCAAAAACUAAA